rnacentral:rRNA from 1 species
UACGUAGGGUGCGAGCGUUAAUCGGAAUUACUGGGCGUAAAGCGUGCGCAGGCGGCGCGUUAAGUCAGGUGUGAAAGCCCCGAGCUUAACUUGGGAAUUGCGCUUGUGACUGGCGUGCUGGAGUGUGGCAGAGGGAGGUGGAAUUCCACGUGUAGCAGUGAAAUGCGUAGAGAUGUGGAGGAACACCGAUGGCGAAGGCAGCCUCCUGGGCCAGCACUGACGCUGAGGCGCGAAAGCUAGGGUAGCAAACGGG